rnacentral:rRNA from 1 species
CCGUGGCUCAGUUCAGAUCGUAGGCUGCAACUCGCCUACGUGAAGUAGGAAUCGCUAGUAAUCGCAGGUCAGCAUACUGCGGUGAAUACGUUCCCGGGCCUUGUACACACCGCCCGUCACACCAUGGAAGUUGGCCACGCCCGAAGUCGUUACUUUAACCCUUGUGGAGAAGGACGCCGAAGGUGGGGCUGAUGACUGGGGUGAAGUCGUAACAAGGUAGCCGUACCGGAAGGUGCGGCUGGAUCACCUCCUAA